UGUUGUAGUCCGACAACGCUGCAAUCCGCCAUAUUGAGAAAACCACACCCUUUUUUAACACUGUCUCUUAUGGAAGUAUUAUUUUAAAGUGUUUUUUCUCUUAACUGGAUAACAACUUCGACCAAAGGAAAAAAUCGAAAAAUAUUACAUCAUUCAGGGCAUAUGGGCAUUGUUUACAUAUGUAGGACCCAAACAUACUGAAACAAUACCCACUGAAACACUUUGGUAAUUUUUCCUAAUUAUUUAGAUUGUCAUGUGUGACGAGUGAAACAUGAUACAGAAAACAAGUUAAUGUUGCGAAUUGGAGAUUUUGUUGCAUCUGCCAUUGCUGUGUGAUUGUGAAGACAAACACGUUCCAUAUGUCAUUUGUGUUUGUCCGUUCAAAGCAAGCACUUGGACGUGCUUGUGGAGUCUCCCGUUCUGUUAUUGCAGCUUGUUCUGUGACUGUACAUGGGA